UACGUAGGGGGCAAGCGUUGUCCGGAUUUAUUGGGCGUAAAGAGCGUGUAGGCGGCUAUACAGGUCCGCUGUGAAAACUCGAGGCUCAACCUCGAGACGCCGGUGGAAACCAUCAGGCUAGAGUCCGGAAGAGGAGAGUGGAAUUCCUGGUGUAGCGGUGAAAUGCGCAGAUAUCAGGAAGAACACCCGUGGCUAAGGCGGCUCUCUAGUACGGUACUGACGCUGAGACGCGAAAGCGUGGGGAGCGAACAGG
rnacentral:rRNA from 1 species